AACGAACGCUGGCGGCAGGCCUAACACAUGCAAGUCGAACGCUCCGCAAGGAGAGUGGCAGACGGGUGAGUAACACGUGGGAAUCUUCCUAUCGGUACGGAAUAGCUCAGGGAAACUUGAGGUAAUACCGCAUACGCCCUUCGGGGGAAAGAUUUAUCGCCGAUAGAUGAGCCCGCGUCUGAUUAGCUAGUUGGUGGGGUAAUGGCCUACAAAGGGGACGAUCAGUAGCUGGUCCGAGAGGAUGACCAGCCACACUGGGACGGAGACACGGCCCAGACUCCUACGGGAGGCAGCAGUGGGGAAUAUUGGACAAUGGGGGCAAGCCUGAUCCAGCCAUGCCGCGUGAGUGACGAAGGUCUUCGGAUUGUAAAGCUCUUUUGCCAGGGACGAUAAUGACGGUACCUGGAGAAUAAGCCCCGGCUAACUUCGUGCCAGCCGCCGCUGUAAAAC
rnacentral:rRNA from 1 species